rnacentral:rRNA from 1 species
GUAGGAUAGGUGGGAGGCUUUGAAGUGUGGACGCCAGUCUGCAUGGAGCCGACCUUGAAAUACCACCCUUUAAUGUUUGAUGUUCUAACGUUGACCCGUAAUCCGGGUUGCGGACAGUGUCUGGUGGGUAGUUUGACUGGGGCGGUCUCCUCCUAAAGAGUAACGGAGGAGCACGAAGGUUGGCUAAUCCUGGUCGGACAUCAGGAGGUUAGUGCAAUGGCAUAAGCCAGCUUGACUGCGAGCGUGACGGCGCGAGCAGGUGCGAAAGCAGGUCAUAGUGAUCCGGUGGUUCUGAAUGGAAGGGCCAUCGCUCAACGGAUAAAAGGUACUCCGGGGAUAACAGGCUGAUACCGCCCAAGAGUUCAUAUCGACGGCGGUGUUUGGCACCUCGAUGUCGGCUCAUCACAUCCUGGGGCUGAAGUAGGUCCCAAGGGUAUGGCUGUUCGCCAUUUAAAGUGGUACGCGAGCUGGGUUUAGAACGUCGUGAGACAGUUCGGUCCCUAUCUGCCGUGGGCGCUGGAGAACUGAGGGGGGCUGCUCCUAGUACGAGAGGACCGGAGUGGACGCAUCACUGGUGUUCGGGUUGUCAUGCCAAUGGCACUGCCCGGUAGCUAAAUGCGGAAGAGAUAAGUGCUGAAAGCAUCUAAGCACGAAACUUGCCCCGAGAUGAGUUCUCCCUGACUCCUUGAGAGUCCUGAAGGAACGUUGAAGACGACGACGUUGAUAGGCCGGGUGUGUAAGCGCAGCGAUGCGUUGAGCUAACCGGUACUAAUGAACCGUGAGGCUUAACCUUACAACGCCGAAGGUGUUU